rnacentral:rRNA from 1 species
AAUGAACGUUGGCGGCGUGGAUUAGGCAUGCAAGUCGAGCGCUCAUAGCAAUAUGGGAGCGGCGAACGGCGUAGUAAGACGUAGGAACGUACCCUCGGGUCGGGGAUAGCUAUGGGAAACUGUAGGUAAUACCCGAUAAUCUCUGCGGAGCAAAGGUGUGAUUCCGCCUGAGGAGCGGCUUACGCGAUAUUAGCUAGUUGGUGGGGUAAUGGCCUACCAAGGCGAUGAUGUCUAGGGGGGUGUGAGAGCAUGGCCCCCACGACCGGAACUGAGAUACUGUCCGGACACCUACGGGUGGGCUGCAGUCGAGAAUCUUCCGCAAUGGACGAAAGUACUGACGGAGCGACGCCG